CUAGCUAAGAAAGUAACUCCAAGUUUGCUUGAGAAGAUGGUCCCAGAAACUCUGAAUGUGAAAGGAGAGCUCCGGCCGCAAAUGUCCUCACCACUAGAUAAGAAGACCCUCUCCGCAGGGCGGCAGAGUGCACCCCACAGACCUUCUGUGGGUAAUGGGAGGAUUGAGAAUCCCCACUGGUGGCACCAGAGGGUGUGUGAAGCCUAUGGAUGUGUAUGUCAUGUUACUGGGACCUGCCUCUGGAGGGGGGAGGACAGUACUUGCUUUUGAAUUUGAAACAUUUAAAGACAGUGACAAACCACGGCCACACCCUCCAAAAGAAGACAAUGGACAAACAUGAAGCAUCUGUGUCAGCUUGGCCAUGAAAGGACUCAGAUUCUAGAAGGAGCUGACCCCUGGCCCUGACCUCA